CCGUAAAAUUAAUUUAAUUUUUUUAAAACAAAACCGCGAUCAAUCAUUCUAACAUAACAGUGUGUUUGGUUCAGUGUAAUAGGUAAUCCAUUACGCCCCGAUUACGCGUCUAUUACAUUAACGACCUAUUCCGACAUUUGGUUAGCUGUAAUAGGUAUUACGCGCGUAUUACAAUCCCGACCUAAUCCUCAAAUUCCCUGCUUUUCUAUUCCCUUCCCAACUCUCUGUUUUACCCACCCGACCCACCCGACCCUCUCCUUUUUCUGUCCUCAUCAUUUCUCCUCGCCUGCCUUUACCGAUUCUCUCUGUCGAUCAUUUUUUCCCUUUCAUUUGUUGCAGCACGUUUGAAAGCCACUGCUUCAUUUUUUUCUCUCGGUCUCGGCGUGAGAUCUUCAGUUCAACUAAUAGGCAGAGUCUCUUUUUGAACUGAUUGCUUCACUUCAUCGUCCCCAAAUUUCAGAUUUGGAUCUUGCAAAUUAGAGAUAAUUCGCAAGAGGAACUAUGAGUUGCUUUGGCUGUUGUGAAGAGGAUGGCAUCUUGUGACAAAAUUUGCAAAUUUUAUGCUCUUGGGUUGUUUUUACAUUUAAAUCAUAUGGCAUAUUAUAUUUAUGGUUUAGGGAUACUGCCUUUGAGUCUUCUUUUUUUGGUUUGAUAUGGCCAGUUCUAGUUGCUGGAGUGCAGACCUGCGCCAGGCUCCAUGCCUGAUUGUUCUUGCUUAUUCUUCAUUGUAAUGAAAUUAUAACUAAAACUUUAAUUGAGGUACAAAGCUAUUGGACUA